UCACACUCCAAGGCUGCAAAUGCUUGUGU
rnacentral:piRNA from 1 species